CCUACGGGAGGCAGCAGUGAGGAAUAUUGGUCAAUGGGCGGGAGCCUGAACCAGCCAAGUCGCGUGAGGGAAGACGGUCCUAUGGAUUGUAAACCUCUUUAGGCGGGGAGCAAUGCCGGGCACGCGUGCCCGAAGGGAGAGUACCCGCAGAAUAAGCAUCGGCUAACUCCGUGCCAGCAGCCGCGGUAAUACGGGGGAUGCGAGCGUUAUCCGGAUUUGUUGGGUUGAAAGGGUGGGUGGGGGGAUUUUUAAGUCAGCGGUAAAAUGUACGGGUCCAACCCGGGCCGGCCGUUGAAACUGGGGAUCUUGAGUGGGCGAGAAGUAUGCGGAAUGCGUGGUGUAGCGGUGAAAUGCAUAGAUAUCACGAAGAACUCCGAUUGCGAAGGCAGCAUACUGG
rnacentral:rRNA from 1 species